CUCUCUCUCGGCAUGGACACAAAAGAAAAGCCAUGUGAGGACACAGAGAGAAGGUGGCUGUCUACGAGCUAGGAAGAAAGGCCUCACCGGAAACCAACCCUCACAGCAGCUCCAUCUUGGACUUCCAGCCUCCGGAACUGUGAGAAAAUAAAUGUUUGCAAUUCAGGUCGGUUGUAUUUUGUGAAGGCCAUCCUAGCAAAUGAAUACUCCUAACAUUGUCUCUUUAAGAGCUCACCAGCCUGAGGUAGGAAUCAUUCCAUCUGUGUUACUAAUGAGACCGCUGAGGAUCAAAGGGGUUUUCCACCACAUCCACUCACCUCUACAUGGCGAAAACCAAGGGUUCACUCUCUGUCUUCAGGGAGCUCCACCCAGCAGCAGCGUUUGACAGAGCUGUUCACUUCCUCUUCCUGGAGCUGUGGCUUCCAGAGCCCAUGCUCAGCAGUUCCCCUCCUUCUUCGACUGCUCCUCUCUUAGGCUCAGAGCCACUCAGACAUUGGGAAGCAAGUUUGUCAAGAUGACAGAGAACCGAGGUAAUGGAUUCGAGUGAUGAAACAGGAAGUUCAUUCAUGAGUUUUUGGCCACACCUCCAAAGUGACGACUUAGCCAGAAAUGGGAUAACUGGGUUUCCCUACUUCUCUUUUAUCAUCCUCAAUGAGAGUGACCAAAUAUUAGAGCUAGAUGGAACCUUAGUGAAAAUCUGGCUACUCGUCCCGUCCCACCAGCCUGCCACCCAUUUCAAGUUUGAAGAGACAAAGACACAUGGACCUUAUGUAAUUACUGGGGAUUACCCCAGGAGUCUGUGGCAAAAGUCAGCUUCUUCCCUCCCUGCUUCCCCGCCCUGUCUCUGGUACUUUCUACCAACACUGGGCUGUUUCUGUGAUCACACUUAAGCGUACCUAACCUGCGAAUGCUGUAUAGAAGGUGCUAAUGAACAUGAUUUAGCUUUAACACUCAGUUUUCUAAAGGGACACGUGGGGGCAGCAAAUGUUUAGGCAAAAACAAUUCCAGUUCUAGCCUCUACUGUCUACAUAUGUGUAUACAUUUGGGAAACGUUUGGGAAAGGGAUAUUUGAGAGCUUCUUUUUCUUUUUUGUGGUUUAGUUAUUUGAUGAUAUUGAGAUUGUUUCUGAGCCAUGUGCUUCAACAUCGGAUUGGGGAUUUCAGAAAAAGUUUUAGUCACUGUGAUUCCAUUUAGCUUCCAAAUGUGUCUCUGCUAAGAGACUUAAAAGCACUCAUAAAUAGCACGUGUGUCUUCUUUGCAGUGUUUGCUAAUUUUGAGUCACAUCUUUUUAGAAAAUCAUGAGAUUUGGUGUCACAGAGACUGGAAUAAAUAUAGUCAAACUUAUUGGUGAAGAUUUCCUUUAGCUGUUUUCAUAAUCCAUUUCCAUUGUUAUGAUUAUUGAUGAAUAAAACAUUUUCUUUAGGUAGAUACUUCUUUUUUCCCCCCACCUUGAUUUAAUGUUUCCACUCUUAUUGUCAAGUUUCUUAUUACUCCCUAAUAACUCUCAAUAAAAUAAUGAUUCCUGGGAGAUUA
rnacentral:lncRNA from 1 species